CACGCAGGGCGCAAGCGUUGUCCGGAAUUAUUGGGCGUAAAGAGCGUGUAGGCGGCCCGGUCAGUCGGUUGUGAAAGUCAGGGGCUCAACCCUUGAAUGCCGACCGAUACUGCCGGGCUAGAGUCCGGAAGAGGCGAGUGGAAUUCCUGGUGUAGCGGUGAAAUGCGCAAAUAUCAGGAGGAACACCAAUGGCGAAGGCAGCUCGCUGGGACGGUACUGACGCUGAGACGCGAAAGCGUGGGGAGCAAACAGG
rnacentral:rRNA from 1 species